UACAGAGGUCCCGAGCGUUGUUCGGAUUCACUGGGCGUAAAGGGUGCGUAGGCGGUUCUGAAAGUCUGAUGUGAAAUCUCCAGGCCCAACCUGGAAACGGCAUUAGAAACUACAGGGCUAGAGGCUUGGAGGGGGAACUGGAAUGCUCGGUGUAGCAGUGAAAUGCGUAGAGAUCGAGCGGAACACCAGUGGCGAAGGCGAGUUCCUGGACAAGUCCUGACGCUGAGGCACGAAAGCCAGGGGAGCAAACAGG
rnacentral:rRNA from 1 species